UACGUAGGGUGCAAGCGUUAUCCGGAAUUAUUGGGCGUAAAGAGCUCGUAGGCGGUUUGUCGCGUCUGCCGUGAAAGUCCGGGGCUCAACUCCGGGUCUGCGGUGGGUACGGGCAGACUAGAGUGAUGUAGGGGAGACUGGAAUUCCUGGUGUAGCGGUGAAAUGCGCAGAUAUCAGGAGGAACACCGAUGGCGAAGGCAGGUCUCUGGGCAUUAACUGACGCUGAGGAGCGAAAGCAUGGGGAGCGAACAGG
rnacentral:rRNA from 1 species